GCAAUUUUUGAGAAUGGUUUUGCCUUUUGUGUGGCAUUUUCAUUGUACAAAAUUGCAAGAGCAUUUGGGUUUUUUGCUUGCCUCGUUGUUUUUAAAACCAUAGAACAACGCAGGCCAAUGAAAACCUGGACAUU
rnacentral:snoRNA from 1 species